rnacentral:rRNA from 1 species
GAUUAUGGCUCAGGAUGAACGCUAGCUACAGGCUUAACACAUGCAAGUCGAGGGGCAGCAUUGGAGUAGCAAUACUCAGAUGGCGACCGGCGCACGGGUGAGUAACACGUAUCCAACCUGCCGCUUACUCGGGGAUAGCCUUUCGAAAGAAAGAUUAAUACCCGAUGGUAUAAAGAGUUCGCAUGUUCUCUUUAUUAAAGAAUUUCGGUAAGCGAUGGGGAUGCGUUCCAUUAGAUUGUUGGCGGGGUAACGGCCCACCAAGUCUACGAUGGAUAGGGGUUCUGAGAGGAAGGUCCCCCACAUUGGAACUGAGACACGGUCCAAACUCCUACGGGAGGCAGCAGUGAGGAAUAUUGGUCAAUGGACGAGAGUCUGAACCAGCCAAGUAGCGUGAAGGAUGACUGCCCUAUGGGUUGUAAACUUCUUCUAUAAGGGAAUAAAGUGAGGGACGUGUCCCUUUUUGUAUGUACCUUAUGAAUAAGGAUCGGCUAACUCCGUGCCAGCAGCAGC